GCCGCCAGCCUGCCCGCCAGGCCGUCCUGUGUCUGGUCCCCGUGUGUGUCCCUCGGCGCGCCUGUCACUCCAGACACCUGUGUACCUCACUCUGCACAGCCCGCCCUUUGGGGACAGCUGUGGCCAGAUCCGUACAAGGCCUGCUUUCAUCUGUGGGCAGCCUGGAGCGAGGCCCUGUCCUCUUAACCCCUGCUUCUGUUUCCCAUCUGUCGAAAGAGAGUAUUUACUUUGUUAUUAAGAGAAUGAAAUGGGCUAAUGCACGUAACAUGCUCAGAACGGUGCCUGGUCCAUAUCAGAAGUAUCUCCCACUACAGUUAUUUCACAACUACUGUCAUUAUUAUUAAAGGUAUGGUCAUCUUUAUCAUUAUUGGUGUUCUUCCUAAUAAUUCCGAUAACCCAGGAUGAUGAUUUUUGACUAAAGUCAUUAUUGCCAGUGCACUGCAGGAAGAAAAAUGGCCCAGGGCUGAUGAAAUUAGAUGCUUUUCAUGAUUAUGGUAUUGGGGGAAUCAAAUGAUCAAAUGCAACCCCCCAGAUUCAUACAUUAAGAUUUCUUUCAAGCCCUCAUCUGUUUAGAGUGAGGUACACUGGUGUUCGGUGCAUUGGGGUCAGGGAACAGAAUCGUUUGGUCCUCUUCUCUGCCCUUGUCAAGAAUGAUUCUGGUUUACUUUUCACCUCCUUCUUGUUUAGACACUAUUGCCUCCAUCUGGAGAGCAUUGUCAGCCCCGGGGAUGAAGCAAGUUUGAACUGUUGCUUGUGUCAUGGGCUGGGCUCGCAGCCACACAGAUGGGGUCUCUGGCCACGGCCCCGGGCGCUCCGAAUGGAGGAGGUGAUGGGGUCAAGUGAGGUGGGAGCUCUGCCUGCCAGAGGGGAGCUUCCAGCACACCUUCUGGGACAGAUCUGGGCUCUCCCCAGCUCCCACCUGCCUUCUGCUCUGGCGUGGGGGGAGCAUCUCCUGUGAGCCCUCCUCUGGGUCCUGGGCUCGCCGUGGCUCCUCUGCAGCCAGCUCGCCGGCCCAUCAGCCCGGACUGUGCGAGUCCAGGCGUCCAAAGCUAGAAAAUGGAGCCUCUCAGUAAAUCAGUUGACUGGGAACUCAUUUGUUUGGGGGAGUUUGCUGCGAUUAUGCAGCCAAAACCCGCCCCCACCCCCACCCCGCUGGCCCCAUUCUGAUGAUCUUGGCAGCUCUCUUCGAAUGCCACGAUCGUAUUUCAGUGAAUAUAACCCAAGUGUCUCCCUGUUGGCAUCAGCCGUCUUUUUAGGCUGAGAUCUCCAGCAUGCUUUUUUUUCUGUCUAAAGUGUGCAGUAAGCAUCUUGGUUUAAGAAUUCCUUUCUGGUUCAGAAAACCUUUGCCAACAAAUAUUACUGUGGCGGGGAGGUGAGGGGCGGACACAAGGUAAGCCAUACUUGUUUGCUUAUUUGCAUCAUUUUGACUUUUUGUUCUAACUUGGAAGAAAAUUAUCUGCUGAAGCUUUGGGUUUAGCUGUCCUGCAGCCACCCUGGGGGAAAAUGGACGACUUCACCCCAUUUUGUACACUGUGUUCUCGUCAGUUUUGUUUUGGAAAGAUGCUACCUCUUUUUGUUCCAGUCCUUUUAAGGGCUGCUGUCUAACCAGGCCGGGGCUGUGACUAACCAUGGUGUGGACAAGGGCAGGCUUGGCCUCAAACACACAAUCCAGUGACUCAACCGGGCAGCCUAGUCCUGGCGCACAGGGGCUGCAGCGGCUGUGCAAGGCUGCCAUCCCCGCUCUCUGUUGGGAUCCAGGGGGUGGGGGUUCCCUCCCUGGGGGUGGGCUCCCUGCAGGUUCAGCCUGCCUGCCCUGUGCAGGGGACACAGGGGGACAUGUUCACCAGCCUCCAGAACCCUGUUUUCCAGGUGGUUACUUGGCCAGGUUGUGUCAGAAAGGGCUCAGAGGAAUUUCCCGAGAGGCUUUGCUUGGCUGGUUGAUGCCGACUUCAGGGUUCAGUGGGGUGUGGUUCUCCAUGCCCCGCUCAGCUUUGUAGUGCCCUCCUGUUUUCCUGGCCCAACUCAUUGUAAAUAAAUACAACUUUUGCAGGCCCAUCCAGCAAAGAGACACCUAACUGGGCAGCAGCAGGUGUGUUCUGGGGCUCUUUGAAUUGUUUAUUUGACCUCUCAGUUAUUCUCGUGUUUGAAGGUGUGGCCACUGGGUGCUCUCUCCUUAGACUGUCUCGGUGUUUGGGUGAAACCACACAGCUGUUAAUUCCUGUGACUUGGAAGGGUGUCAGGCGCAUUUUCUCACUUGGUUUCAAGCCAGAGGACAGUGUCGAUGGGGGAGAUGGGAGAUGUGACUUAUGGUCCUGUCUCACCAGCCAGACCUACAUGUGCCUUGGAGGGUGUCCCCAAGCUCUGGACUUCAUUGUCCCCAUCUGGAAAUUGUGACUCUAGGAAGUAUAAAGACUUUUUUUUUUUUUUUUAAACAUGAGGAUAUGUUAGGAUUCUUGUGGUUGUAAGAUUUAGAUAUUCAACUCAGACUAACUCAAGCAGAAAAGGCAAUUAUUGUUUGUCUAACUGGGAGGCCCAGGAGGGGCUGGACUCGGGUGCAUAGAUGACCGUCGGCAACUCAGGGCCCACAUCCUGCCAAGCCACCAAGUGGGGAGAGCGCUGCAACUGAAGCCUGGGAGCUGAGGCUCGCUGGUGCUGGCGGGUCUGGCUUGCCCACCCUGCAGAGAGCUGGCCAGCGCUGAUUGGUCAGGCCAGAUGUGCAUCUGCCCCAUGUGACGCCCUCAGAAAGAAACACAUUCAUCAGAAGAAGGAGGUGUGGGUGCCCAGCUCGCAGAAACAGCAGAUAUUUCUCUGUAACAUGGUGCUUCUCACAUCGUCCCUGGACCUGGUGAGCUUGUUGACAGCCUUGGACUACUUCUUGAGUAAAGAGAUGCUGGCCCCAGUUCCCCCUGCAUACCCCGUCACCCCCUCUUCAGCAGUGCACUCUUUACUUUAAAAGGCGGCAGAAAGCAUAUGAAUAAAAAGGCAUGUGGUCACAAGUCACAAGUCUGCCAUGACCUGAUUUGAAUGUGGCAUCGACUUGUUUUUUUUCGACAGAGGCAGCACCCAGAAUUCACACCUCCUCCACUUUUAAGCCCAGACAAGGAAGUUGUGUGAAAUGAAUGUGCAGCCCUGGACCCUUCACUCCCAUCCCCAGUUUGCAGAGAAAUAUGCUCUGCCUCAGGUCCCCAGUGAUGGACAACUCAUUCUGAAACCAAAAAAAAAAAAAAAAAAAAAAAUCACAGGACCUUUUAAUUUUCAGCAAUUGAGUGCUGAAGGAAGACCAGGGUGCCUUGGUCCCUCUGGCCAGAGAGGUGCGCACCCAGAUGCUCGUUCAUGUCCUAUUCUACCCUUCAGUCUGAAAUGACAGUCAUUUCUUUUUGGAUUCAGUUAAAGCAGUAACUUAAUAAGUGGACCUGAGACAAGAGAAUGAAUUGUUCGAAUUUCUUGGUUGAAAAAUAUGGGAAAAUAGGCUUUUCGCCUAUAAGGAAAAGUAGCCAUGAAUUUCAUGACGUGACCUUCAAAGAUUACUCCUCUCUUGAAUCCCUGCAAGGGCAUGGCGGGAAUAGAACAAUAGUGACUUUGAACCUGCCAAGUUAGCUGGGAGUUAAGGAGUCCCAAGUUUGGCUUUUUUUUCCCCCUUCUGAAGUCUCUGCUGAAAUGAAAUUGAACCUUCUGGCCUCAUUUUUGCAAAGCCAGAACCAAUCCCAGGCCUAGCAGGUUUCUGAUGAGGGCGAGCCAGGGACCAGGUAUCAGGAGGUCGAGGUCUCUGCCCCAGAGCUGCUGUGUGACGCUGGGCAAGUCAUUGCGCUUUCUGUGCUUUUUGACCCAUGGAGGGCCUGUGCGAUGUCAGCCCUCAGGGUGUCAGAAAUGAGAACCUUCCGUGCUUCAGCAUUUAGCAGGUGACACGUGAACACGAAAUAGGAGCCCUGGCAAGACAGUGGAGCGAGGAGCCCAGAGUGGGACUUGAGCUUGGUUGGGGGGACGUAUGCUUGGCCACCCUGGCAAGUUUCUUUGGGUCCUAUUUCUCUGUUAAUUUAUAUAAUGAACAGUGAGGUGGUUGAGUAUGUGUGUGCAUGUGUGUGUUUGUGUGUUUCUGGAGCAGGGAGUGGGAGAGGGAUGGGAAGGCUGAGCCACUGGGGUACAGAGGUGUGGGGACACCACCUUUUCCAAUGGGCUUAAGGAGAAAGAUUGGAGGUCAGUUUAGACAAAUCCUCUGGAAAGCAACUUCCCAGAAAGAAAAAAAAAAUUCUGAAUUCAAUCUUGUGCUAGCCAGUGAAUAGUAAUAAAAAAAGCAAAGGAAGGGGUACCACAAAUACUCAGCACAUAUGCACUGUGUCAUUGCCAGGCACUGCUGGCCUCUUGGAAUUCUGCUCCAAAGCCAGCCAACAGCAUGCAGUCCUUCCCAUAUCUCCUAGGUAACCAGCAAGGGCAUCCUUUUCCUCCUCUCCAUAACCUUCUUUCUAAGGCCUUCUUAUCAUCCACUGCCCCUCUUUUUAUCAUCUGGCCUCGCCGUGAUGGCUGGAACAUUGACCGCAGAGGGCAACUGAGAAAAUCCUUGCAUUUGUCAAGUCAAAGACUGUUGGGAGGUCAGGCCUGCCAUUUCCCUGAAAAGCACUUCAUUUACCAAAUAUUAAUCAGAUUAGAAUGCCCAUCACCCUGGGAAGUUGAUGAAUUAUGGCUGUUAUUUAAAAAAAAAAAAAAUCCACAGUGACAGAGUACUGGGAAAGCUUAGGGAUUUGGCCAGAGUUGUCACAUCAGGGGACAGAGGUUGACGUCCUUGGAUCCUGAGAGUCCGCAGGCCUCUCCUGCUCGUUUAGCGAUUUGCACAACCAUUACUGCUUUUGAGCCCCAGAACGCUUCAUCCUCCCAAAGCAAAACCCUACCCACUAAACAUCUCCCUGUUCUCCCUCCCUCCUGCCCCUGACAGCCUCUACCCUGCUUCCUGGCUCGAUGCGUUUGACCACUCUAGGUGCCUCAUAUAAGUGGAAUCAAUACAGUAUUUGUCUUUUUGAGACUGGCUUCUUUCACUGAGCAUCAGGUACUCAAGAUUCAUCCGUGUUAUAACAUGUGGCAGGAUUUUCUUCCUUUUUAAGGCUGAACGAUAUCUCAUUUUUUGAAUAGACUCCAUUUGGCUCAUCCUUUCUUUUUUAAAUUUCAUUUAUUUUAAUUGGAGGAUAAUUACUUUACAGCAUUUUGAUGGUUUUUGCCAUACAUCAGUAUGAAUCGGCUACAGGCACACUUGUGCCCCGUCCCUCCUGAAACCCCCCUCCCCACCCCAUCCCCCCAGGUUGUCACAGAGCCCCGACCUGCAUCAUCCAUCAAACUCCCAGGGCUCUCCAUUUUACCUAUGGUCAUGUAUAUGCCCCAGUGCUCUUCUCUCAGGUCAUCCCUCCCUCUCCUCUUACUGAGUCCAAAAGUCUGUUCUUUGUGUCUCCUCGCUGCCCUGCACAUCAGUACCCUCUUUCUAGGUUCCAUAUAUAUGCGUUAAUAUAUGAUAUUGGUCUUCCUCUUUCUGCCUUACUUCACUCGAUGGACAUCUGGCCUGGGUUGGUUCCACCUUUUGGCUGCUGUGCAUAUGGGUAUGCAGAUACUGUUUUGCUGUGGAGAUUUUUGUGGAAAUGAUAGAGGCCAAGCAGGGUCCGGCUAGGGCUUGCCAAAGCUAGAGGAGCUGGACACUUGAGUUCUUGCUCCCAGCCUGGCAACUUCACAUCCUUCCACUCCCAGAGGCC